UUAUAAAGCUUAGUUUACAACUAAGACCUAGGGUUUCAAAGCCCCUUAUGCUUAAAUACAACACUUUACA
rnacentral:tRNA from 1 species